ensembl:snRNA U4 U4 spliceosomal RNA
AGCUUUGUGCAGUAGCAGUAUCAUAGCCAAUGAAGUUUAUCUGAGGUGAUUAUUGCUAAUUGAAAAAAACCCUGCCUUCCAGGAACUAUUCUAGUUAAGGAAGAC